UCGGACUGGAGUCUGCAACCCGACUCCACGAAGUUGGAUUCGCUAGUAAUCGCGCAUCAGCCAUGGCGCGGUGAAUACGUUCCCGGGCCUUGUACACACCGCCCGUCACACCAUGGGAGCCGGUAACGCCCGAAGUCAGUGACCCAACCGUAAGGAGGGAGCUGCCGAAGGUGGAGCCGGUAACUGGGGUGAAGUCGUAACAAGGUAGC
rnacentral:rRNA from 1 species